rnacentral:rRNA from 1 species
CAGCAGCCGCGGUAAUACGUAGGUGGCAAGCGUUGUCCGGAAUUAUUGGGCGUAAAGGGCUCGCAGGCGGUUUCUUAAGCCUGAUGUGAAAGCCCCCGGCUCAACCGGGGAGGGUCAUUGGAAACUGGGAAACUUGAGUGCAGAAGAGGAGAGUGGAAUUCCACGUGUAGCGGUGAAAUGCGUAGAGAUGUGGAGGAACACCAGUGGCGAAGGCGACUCUCUGGUCUGUAACUGACGCUGAGGAGCGAAAGCGUGGGGAGCGAACAGGAUUAGAUACCCCGGUAGUCCCUGUCUCUUAUAC